GGGUGCGAUCAUACCAGCACUAAUGCACCGGAUCCCAUCAGAACUCCGAAGUUAAACGUGCUUGGGCGAGAGUAGUACUAAGAUGGGUGACCUCUUGGGAAGUCCUCGUGUUGCACCCCC
rnacentral:rRNA from 9 species